rnacentral:tRNA from 2 species
GUCUUUGUAGUAUACUGAAUACACUGGUCUUGUAAAUCAGAAAAGGAGAGUAAUUAACCUCCCUAAGACU